CUAGAAUGAGAAUGCACAGCAAGCGGCAGACAAUCACCCGGCAUUCGGCAUCUCUUUCUUUUCACGCGCUCCCUCGCUCCGCCUUUCUCCAGCUCUGCCUUCUCAGGCAGAUACAUCAGAUACCUUGUUUAUCCAUCUUCAGCUCCACUCUGAGGGGCGCAGACGCACGAUUCCGGGAUCGGGUGCACCACGGCGAAGCCCAGGCGGGAGACGGCAGGAGCAGCUCAGGAUGAAGAAACUGAAACCCACAGAGAUGAAGUAACAUCCUCAAGAUCAAAAGGUAACAAACGAUUGAGGCAGGAUUUGGAUAUUGCUCUACAUGACGGGAAAGCCUGUGCUCUUGGAAUUACAGUCAUAGUACAACAGAUCAAGUUCAAAGCAUCAUCUAAGUCAAGGAAAACCAGUAAAGAGGUUUGGAGAGACAAACAGGGUCAACUCCAGGCAUUUGGGUCAGCAGAAACGGCACGAUUGAGCAGCACUGUGACUAUAGGAUCAUGGAUCAGAGGCUGCUUCCUCUUUGGUUCUGGGCAUCAGCCUCAUGUCCACUCAAAGUAAGUGGCCCCUCUGAUUGGAAUCGGAGGUGCCUGGGUCAUCUCACAGAGCCAAACAAAUACAAUUAGCUAUUGCAAAGCCUUUUGGGAAUUAUUCCCAGUGUAAAUAAACACAUAACCAUAUAGCAAGAGCCUUGAUAAAGUCCAAAAACAUGCAAACUUGGAGUAUCUAAGAGAAAAGACCACAAUGUAAAUGAAAAACCAAAUAAACUCGGGCAAACCAUAGGAUAGGGCCCUGUCUGUGAUGGCCUGCAUAUGAUGAGCCAUAGAAAAAGGAUGGUGAAUUCUGGAUAAUAAGAAAUGUCAAUGAGAUGCAAGAACCACCUGUUUUAUGUAAAGCUCCAAAUAACCAGAUCACAGUGGACAGCCACUCAAAUAAUGCCUUCAUAAUACAGAGUAUUAUUGAGAAUAACUCAGUUCACAGAGAGCUUAAGGCAGCCAAUAUUUGAUAGCCUGUCAGAAAAAAACAGAACAGUAAUUAUAGAAAAGAAUCAUAUCCUCGGAAAAACAAAAAUUAAUCAAACUAAGUUUGUAAAGUCUAUCUUACAGACACAUUGUCUGGACUGGUCCUCUCAAAAAUACUGUUUUUUUUUAAUGCCAAUUUGUUUAGUUAAUGAUUUUUGUCUUAUUACUUCAAAACUGGAAAUAUCCUAUGACUCAUAAUAUCUUACAACCUUUCUACUUUCUUAAAGAAUCUCAAGUUUAUAAUCACAGGGGAUCGGAUUAUUUUUCAAAAAUUAAAUGGUGAUGUAAUGAUUUCUGUGUCUAUUGUAGAAAAGUCAACCUUAUUACAGCUGCAACAAUGGCAUUAAGAAAUAUGAGUAAUUCCAAUCAACUUGAGAUAAUGUCUAAUCAAACACAAAUACAACUGGUAAAUUUCAUUAAAUAGCAUGGAGAUUAAAUUAAAACACUAUUAUGUAAUAAAAACCUUUAGUGGUACUAAAAUUUUAGAAUAGUUCAGAUAUACAGAAAAAUUUCAAAGAUACACAGAGUUCCCAUUUUUUUCCUAUUACUAACCUCUCAUAUUUGUCACAACUAAUGAAUAUUCAAUAGAGUAUUAUUAACUAAAGCCUAUACAUUUAUUUAGAUUUCCUUAGUUUUUAGCUAACAUUCUUUUUCUUUGUUCCAGGAUCCCAUCCGGGCCACCACAUUGAAUUUAUUUGUCAUUUUAGGUACCUCUUGGCUGUGAGUUUCUUAGACUUUCCUUGUUUUUGGUGACCCUGACAGUUUGAGGGAGUACUAGUCAGUCAGUUAUUUUUGCAGAAUGCCCUAAAUUUGAGUUUGGCUGAUGUUUUUCUUAGGGUUUGACUGGGGUUAUGGGUUUUGGGGAGGAAGACCACAGAGGUGAAGUACCAUUCUCACCAAAUUAUAUUAAAGGUACAUACCAUCAGCAUGCCUUAUACUAUUGAUGUGAACUUUGAUUGCCUGGCUGUGGUAGUGUUUGUCAUGUUUCUUCACUGUAAAGUUACUCUUCUCAUCACCCACUUUUCUGUACUGUACUCUUUGGAAGAAAGUCACUAUAUGCAUCCCAAAUUUAAGGAGUGGGAAGUUAUGCUCCACCCAUUUGUAAGCAGAAAAUCUACAUAAUUUGUUUGGCAUUCUUCUGCAUAGGAAAAUCAUCUCACUCUCCCAGUUAUUUAUUUAUUUGAUCUUUUUUUAUAUCAGUAUGGACUCAUGGGUAUUUCUUUUAUACUUUGGGUUAUAAUCCAAUACUAACACAAUAAAGAAAUUUUUAAUGGAGAUGCAU
rnacentral:lncRNA from 1 species